rnacentral:rRNA from 1 species
UAGAGUUUGAUCAUGGCUCAGGACGAACGCUGGCGGCGUGCCUAAUACAUGCAAGUAGAACGCUGAAGAGAGGAGCUUGCUCUUCUUGGAUGAGUUGCGAACGGGUGAGUAACGCGUAGGUAACCUGCCUUGUAGCGGGGGAUAACUAUUGGAAACGAUAGCUAAUACCGCAUAACAAUGGAUGACACAUGUCAUUUAUUUGAAAGGGGCAAUUGUUCCACUACAAGAUGGACCUGCGUUGUAUUAGCUAGUAGGUGAGGUAAUGGCUCACCUAGGCGACGAUACAUAGCCGACCUGAGAGGGUGAUCGGCCACACUGGGACUGAGACACGGCCCAGACUCCUACGGGAGGCAGCAGUAGGGAAUCUUCGGCAAUGGGGGCAACCCUGACCGAGCGACGCCGCGUGAGUGAAGAAGGUUUUCGGAUCGUAAAGCUCUGUUGUAAGUCAAGAACGGGUGUGAGAGUGGAAAGUUCACACUGUGACGGUAGCUUACCAGAAAGGGACGGCUAACUACGUGCCAGCAGCCGCGGUAAUACGUAGGUCCCGAGCGUUGUCCGGAUUUAUUGGGCGUAAAGCGAGCGCAGGCGGUUUGAUAAGUCUGAAGUUAAAGGCUGUGGCUCAACCAUAGUUCGCUUUAGAAACUGUCAAACUUGAGUGCAGAAGGGGAGAGUGGAAUUCCAUGUGUAGCGGUGAAAUGCGUAGAUAUAUGGAGGAACACCGGUGGCGAAAGCGGCUCUCUGGUCUGUAACUGACGCUGAGGCUCGAAAGCGUGGGGAGCGAACAGGAUUAGAUACCCUGGUAGUCCACGCCGUAAACGAUGAGUGCUAGGUGUUGGAUCCUUUCCGGGAUUCAGUGCCGCAGCUAACGCAUUAAGCACUCCGCCUGGGGAGUACGACCGCAAGGUUGAAACUCAAAGGAAUUGAC